rnacentral:sRNA from 1 species
UACCUCCCGAAGCAGCCAUGCCCAGUGAGC